UACGUAGGUGACAAGCGUUGUCCGGAUUUACUGGGCGUAAAGAGCGCGCAGGCGGUCGUUCAAGUCGAGUGUGAAAGCCCCCGGCUCAACUGGGGAGGGUCAUUCGAUACUGAUCGACUCGAAGGCAGGAGAGGGAAGUGGAAUUCCCGGUGUAGUGGUGAAAUUCGUAGAUAUUGGGAAGAACACCGAUGGCGAAGGCAGCCAUCUGGACCGACACUGACGCUGAGGCGCGAAAGCGUGGGGAGCAAACAGG
rnacentral:rRNA from 1 species